GUGAAUGUCGUCUGCCGGACAAUUAAUUACCGGCGGGUGAAUUUACUCGCCGACUGCGACACGCUGGCCCUCGACUGCAAGGCCUUCAUUUGACCACCUGCUCCGGUCCGGUGACUUGGCUGCCGGCUGGCCAGCGAGGGAUCGACAGGGAAAUUCUGCGCAUCCAUUCAAGCGAUGACACCAAAUUAACUGUGCUGUACUUCACUCAUAACCCGAGGGCACAAGCUGUACAUGUUCAUUCAUUCGCGCAGUC
rnacentral:lncRNA from 1 species